UUUAUUUGUUGGGUAUCACAGGUAAAUGCAUUUAAACUACUUUCCGUUAAGUGUUACCCAAGUGAAAAUCAUGUUGAUAAAAUUCCGGUUAUCAAAGAUUUUGAAAUAUUAUCCAGUUUGGUCAAGAGGAAGUCUGCUUCUAAAAAUCCACAAUUACCUAAACACAAAAACUAAUGCUGAACUAAAUUCAUGAGUUGACAGUGAUGUCUGUGUUGUCAGAUGACCACAGAUUAGUUAUCUUCCCAUCUGGUUGACCAAAAUCCUGAAAUAUAUCCAUAAAAGUAGUCCGUUGUUUGACUGUGAUAAUUUCAUGGCAGACAUCUUGUAGUGACAACUAUUAAACUGAAGUUAAUGUAGUUUGCAAACAUGUUACUUGUUAACACUGAAGAGUUUUUUGUGGUAAUUUCAGCCUAUACAAAUGUAGUGCUUUUUUGUGUAAAAUGGGUGCACUCCAGCCAGGUUUAGUGGAUUUGUUUAAACCAAUAUACUGGGAAAAGAGCUGGACAAUAGGGGUUGUCCUUUUCGGGGUAUGUUGCCCUCAGGCUGGUAAAGGUAGAUACAAAAAUCCAUGGGCCUACAGAUAUUAAUGAAAGUGCUAUAUCCACCCCCACCCCCAACACAAUAUAGAAACAUAUAGCAUAAUACAUUAAAUAAUUGUGGUCUGUGGCCAAAAACAUAAUGCCUACAGGAAUAUCUCACCUUUCAACUUUGUCAAGGUCAAACAACCAGUAUAUUUCUGCCAGUUGUUGUAAUGACACUAACUGUCUCUUCUAUAUAAUAUAUCCUCAUUUGAAUGGAUAACAAAUUGUAGUAUGUGAUUUAUGUAUUGAGAUUUGCAUCAGUGAUUAAAGACUGAAUUCAAAA